AUUGAACGCUGGCGGCAUGCCUUACACAUGCAAGUCGAACGGUAACGGGCCUUCGGGUGCCGACGAGUGGCGGACGGGGGAGUAAUACAUCGGAACGUGCCCGAUCGUGGGGGAUAACGAGGCGAAAGCUUUGCUAAUACCGCAUACGAUCUACGGAUGAAAGCAGGGGACCGCAAGGCCUUGCGCGGGCGGAGCGGCCGAUGGCAGAUUAGGUAGUUGGUGGGAUAAAAGCUUACCAAGCCGACGAUCUGUAGCUGGUCUGAGAGGAUGAUCAGCCACACUGGGACUGAGACACGGCCCAGACUCCUACGGGAGGCAGCAGUGGGGAAUUUUGGACAAUGGGCGCAAGCCUGAUCCAGCCAUGCCGCGUGCAGGAUGAAGGCCUUCGGGUUGUAAACUGCUUUUGUACGGAACGAAAAGCCUUCUUUUAAUACAGGAGGGUCAUGACGGUACCGUAAGAAUAAGCACCGGCUAACUACGUG
rnacentral:rRNA from 1 species